GAACAGUAAGAGUUAAUUUAGACAUUAAAUUCUCAAAAAGUUGGUCUUUUUCUUAUGAGAUUACAGCAAGAAUCAAUCUUUUUGCUGUCCAAAGCUCCUAUACAAGUUUAGUGCUUAAUUGGAUUACUACAGGAAUGAACUGCUAACAAAUCAAGCAAUGCGCUUGCGACACUUGCAUCCAAUCAACUCAAAAGACAAGGAUGCUAACCCUAAAC
rnacentral:misc_RNA from 1 species